rnacentral:rRNA from 1 species
UGGGGGAUAUUGCACAAUGGGGGGAACCCUGAUGCAGCGACGCCGCGUGAGUGAAGGAGUACUCCGGUAUGUAAAGCUCUAUCAGCAGGGACGAAUGAAGACGGUACCUGAGUAAGAAGCCCCGGCUAACUACGUGCCAGCAGCCGCGGUAAUACGUAGGGGGCAAGCGUUAUCCGGAUUUACUGGGCGUAAAGGGAGCGUAGACGGCGAGACAAGUCUGGAGUGAAAGCCCGUGGCCCAACCGCGGGACUGCUCUGGAAACUGCCUGGCUGGAGCGCAGGAGGGGUGAGCGGAAUUCCUGGUGUAGCGGUGAAAUGCGUAGAUAUCAGGAGGAACACCGGCGGCGAAGGCGGCUCACUGGACUGCAGCUGACGUUGAGGCUCGAAGGCGUGGGGAGCAAACAGG